GACGAACGCUGGCGGCGUGCUUAACACAUGCAAGUCGAACGAUGAACCCGGAGCUUGCUCCGGUGGAUUAGUGGCGAACGGGUGAGUAACACGUGAGUAACCUGCCCCGAACUCUGGGAUAACUGCUGGAAACGGUAGCUAAUACCGGAUAUGACAAAUGAAGGCAUCUUCUGUUGGUGGAAAGAAUUUCGGUUCGGGAUGGACUCGCGGCCUAUCAGCUUGUUGGUGAGGUAACGGCUCACCAAGGCGACGACGGGUAGCCGGCCUGAGAGGGUGAUCGGCCACACUGGGACUGAGACACGGCCCAGACUCCUACGGGAGGCAGCAGUGGUGAAUAUUGCACAAUGGGCGCAAGCCUGAUGCAGCAACGCCGCGUGAGGGACGACGGCCUUCGGGUUGUAAACCUCUUUUAGUAGGGAAGAAGCGAAAGUGACGGUACCUGCAGAAAAAGCACCGGCUAACUACGUGCCAGCCGCCGCAGUAA
rnacentral:rRNA from 1 species